rnacentral:lncRNA from 1 species
CCCAGGCUCUUGACUAAAUCAAUGUUACGAGCCCCACAAGUGGCUGUCACAUGUGUGUUUCCAAGCUUUGCGAGUUGAACUGCAUAUUGACCUACACCACCUGAAGCGGCAGUUAUCAGGAUGUUUACUUGCUGGCCGCUUCCAUCAAGCUUGACCCCAGCAGCCUUGGUGAGUGAUUGGUGAGCUGCAAGGCCAGCAAUAGGCAAAGCUGCAGCUUCAACAGCUGAUACCUCUGAAGGCCUUGCAACUGUCGAACCCUCCUUAGCCACAGCAAAUUCAGCUAGUCCACCUCCAUUCUGUUGUUGCAGAAUAUAUUCAUAAUAGAAGAUGGCAAAAGCAAAGGACAUAAGUAACGCUGACUUGCAGAUAAAACAAGCAGAAGAUAGAAUCAUCAUACCACUGGCCCACAUUUAAUAUCUAGGUCUUCUCACAGCCAAAUGCCUCACAUAUUGACAGUAAAAUCAAUUCCUCAUAAACGAUAGUCAAUAGUCAUGUCCAGAUAAUUGCAUUCAAAGCAUGAUACGACUCAAUGCGAAUAGUAAUAAGGGAAAAAUUCUGGGGCCUGGGAUGUUACUAUAUCUUGAUCCAACAAAUAGUCCAGUCGAACAUCAAACAUACAUUCGUUUCCCUCAAGCAACACCAUCAAUACAAGAAAAAAUGGAAAGCCGAAUGGUUUCAAAUAUAGGCUUACCAUUUGAAAAGUUAAUUUUUCAAUCUACAAGGAAAAGCAACCCAUAAUAAGCAAUAUAGCGGCAUUUCAAAUUCAGAGGAUGACAUAACACAAAGCUUUCAUUUACUUUGAUUCAUCCAGACAGGGAACCAGGGCAAUGUCCACCAGAUGUCACGACUAGAGUUAACUAAGGUCACUCACUGGAAGACUGGCAGGGUUCAUUUGGAGCAAAAAUAUGGACGCCAGUCCUUGAAAAUACUUUAUAAUGGUCCAUAAUUUACUAGUGUUAUUCCACUGUUGGAUUCUGAAAUGGAUUAUUUGGCCAUAAAGAAUUCCAUUUUUCUUUUUCAAGAAUUAUUGGGGUUGCACUAAAGUGCUACCCAGUGCUAAUACCUAAAAACAAAAAUGUCAUCAACUAUUUUCCAAAUCUUUAUCUACUAUGGUAGUACAUUGCUAUGGCUUCUUCCACACCUCAAUCAGAAAUCUCCUUUUAUAAUUAUUCUUAGAAUGAUUAGUGAAAUGCCACCCUACAACUGGUAUCAUGUGAUAGUGUCUCUUUAGUGGAGAGCCCGGUAGAUGGCUUUCUUUGCUGAUUGAAAAUUUGAACAAGAAAAAACAUAAGAAUAAGAAUGACAACUUACACCAAGUACAGCCACAACUUUAUCCCCAACUUUGAAAUUCUUGACUCCUGGUCCAACCUUUAUGAUUUCUCCUGCCACAUCGGUACCUGUUCCACCAAAAGUUCUUUAGCCAAUGAACGAAAAGAGGCAAUCAAAUAUUAGCUGAAAGAAAACUGCAAUGCUUACUGAUGAUUUAAAGUUGGCUACUUUUAAUAUAGUUUGCAGAUGAUAUAUGAUAGUAAACCAAGUUUGCUUUUGAGAUAUUAAACGUGUCUACAUGAUAAUGUCAAAUAAAUACAAAUACCACUCCCCGAGUAAUUAAAAUAAAUAGUCUCAAGAAGAUUAGAAGAUUGAAAUAGCCACAAGAGAGAAAAGUAUGUUACCAGGUAUGAAGGGGAAUUUGCGAGGUAAAAAUGGCCGCGCUAUCCCUUUCUGUAUUUUCCAGUCAAUUGGAUUUAUACCAGCUGCCUCUACUUUUAUCAAAACUUCAUCUUUCUUUGGAGUGGGAAUCGGUACUUCAACAUGCUGCAACAGCCAAAAUAUUCACGGUCAUUAUGACAUCAGGUAACUCGCAAUUUUUUGAAGUUUAUCAAAGAAGAAAAAUAAUGUAAGUACAUUUGCAAACAUAUGUUAUGACUUUGCCGUCAACCUCUCAGUCUCUCAUACUCUUUCUCAAUUGUUCCUCUCCUUUUCAAGAGAGAAGAAAAGAUGGAAACCCUCAUCAAUACUCAACCAUGAUUCAUGAAUGAUUAUCAUCUUUUCCCAUACUAAUAGAAUCAAUUGAUGAGUUGAAGUAUUAAACUUUGAUCUCCAAAUUAUUUCAUUCUUUUCCAUGCUAGUAAAGGAAUCAAUUAGUCCUUGUGACUCAAACCUCAAAACCCCAACUUGGUAAACAACCAAAAUUCUUGACCGUUUUCGAUUUCACCUGGAAUCGAAGCCUUAGAGAAAGUUUGAAAUUUUCUUUUUUUUUUUAAAAAAAAGGGAGACAGCCAAACAAUUAAAUAGAAAUUCAGGAAGUAGGAAGUGGAUAGAUUCAGAGUCCUGAUAGCCCAGAAAGGAAGAGGAGCGGCGAACAGCGGCGCAGCUGGAGCACGACGGUGCAAACCAGGUAAAAGGGGGAUUCAGCAAUAAGUGAAAAACAGAAAUCAAAUAGAAAAAGAGAGACAAAGCACAAAGGGAGAAUUUGCUAGGGAGUAAAGCGAAUUUGAUCCAAACAAGAGGAGAAAAGGGCGGGAGGAGGCAGAAGAGCGGCAGCGGCGGCUGUGAUGAUGAGCCACACAAGUGUAAAAAAAUUGACAUGUCAGCAGAUAUUUCAAGAGGAUAUCCUACUAGAUCGUGAUGUUGUCGUACUUACUUAUUCCCCGUAAAUAUUACUUUAGUCGUUAGAAUUCAAAACGUUUUGUCCAAAAAUCUAGCUAAUUUCAAAACCCUUCUUCACCCUUCUUCAUCAAUACAAGGACUAGAUAAACAAUCUUUAAUUAAAUCUCCAUUUAAACAUGAAAAAAACAUUUCCUUUUGAUUUUAACUUCUAAACCCCCCCCCCCCAAAAAAAAAAGUAGCAAGAAAAAUAACAUAAUCAAAGAAUGAAGUAGCUUUACCUUCAAAGCAGCAGCUCCUCCGCCAUAUUUACUAUAUUGAAUGGCGCGCAUCAGAUCCUUAGACAUUUUUUUUCUUUUGGGUAAGAUGAGAUAAAACUGAAGCUCCUUUUAAGUUUAUUAGGCAAGAAGAUGGAGAGAAUAUCCGAGAAAGAUAAAGAGAAAUAGCGAAGAUGCUAUUGGAUGAUGUAUUUUGGCGACUGAUAAUUGAAUUUAUAGUAACGCAGACAUGAAAUCCGUCCAAACGAGAUAAGGGAAAUUUUUUCUUAAUUUUGGCGUGUAUGUGUGAAACUGAUAAUGUUCUAGAAUUUGAAUAUUAUUAGUCCGAAAACAAAAUAUAGUCAUAGUCUUCUUUAAGAAUUAUUAUUAACAUACGGUAUAAUAUAUUUUUUAAAAAGUAGUCAUAUUUUUAUUUAAUUAUUAUAAAAGUUUAUUAUCUUUAAAUUAUAAUAUUUCAAUCGUGAAAUUUAAAAAUUUUACCAUUCAUACAUAAGAUGAGAAUGGAUAUUUCCUUUUAAAUAAAGAAAAAGGUUCAUGUUAGGCGGCUGUUUCCAUUUUUUUUCCAUUUUUAGGCCUGACAGCUGUUAUCGGCUUAUUAUAGUUUUAUAUUAUUGAUUUUAGCCCAAGCCUCUUUUAUUUUAUUUUUGGUUGCCAAAGUUGAUUUGUCCAAAUGUUUGAAUUGUAGUAGGCAAAUGUCAUUUCAUGACUGAUGACGAUGGUGAUUUAACGGGGAAUCCGGGAAUAAUAUUAAUAAUAAUAAAUAAAUAAAUAAAAUUAAAGGAUAUAUACUAAUUUCGUUUGUCAUAGAUUAUUCAUUUGAUAAAGACCGAAUUUGAUACACUACCAAAUUUUGAAAAGGAUAGAUAAAAUAUCGAUGAAUUUAGUAGAGAGAUAUAUAUAUAUAUAUAUAUAUAUAUAUAGUUGAUAGAGAACAAAUUGAUGAGUUUAGAUUUUUAUGGAUACGAUUUUUUACUUUGAAUUAAAAAAAAGAUAGAAGCAGAACUUAAGUUGAAAUUUCAUUUAGUGUGAAAUUGAUUUAAUUUUAUAUUUUAUUUAUUUAAUUAUGUUUUAAUUUAUUAAUUAAUAUUUAAUAAUUUUUAUACAUAAAUAUAAUAUUUUAUUAUAAUUAUAAUUUUUCUUAUAUUUAUAAUUUCAUAAGAAACAGUCUUGUGCAUUGAGCCAUGCAUGCAUAUCUUAUAAAUUGUAAGUAUGGAUGUAAUCGAAUCGAAUCGAACUGAUACAAAAAAAAAUUUGAGUUUGAAUUCGAUUCAUAAUUCGAGAUUCGAUACUCGAUUUGAACUCGAUUGAGUUUUAUUUUUCAAACUCGAGCUCAAUUCGUGAUCGAAUUCGAGCUACUCGAAUUCGUUCAAAUAAACUCGAUUAAUAUGUAAAAAUAAACUCAAUUCGUAUACUCGAUAAAAGUUUGAUUAUUUAUGUUCGAACUCGAACUCGAAAUAUUUUAUUAAUUAAAAUAAUAAAAAUAUAUUUAAAUAUAAAACUUCGAUUAAGCUCGUGAGCUACUCGAAUCGGAUAUAAAAAUACUAAAAUUCGACUCAAUCGAUAAGUUCUUAUAAGUUGUAAGUUAAAAAAUUUAUGAAAAUCAUUUGGGACUCAAUAAAUAAUUUAAAUAAUUGUCCUAGAUUUCUCUGCACUUACUUGGCCAAAAAGAAUAAAGUUUCUUCGGAGUUUAAAAGUUACAUCGUCCUAAUUAAUAAAGAAAACCAUCGUCAUUCCCUACGUCAAUGGGCCUUUGUCUGCGGUUACAUUGACUAUUACUCAGCUCACAAUGAAAUUCUCAAUUCCUGUUCAAGUCAACAAAACGGUGAAGCAUGUUGAACAGUAUUCAUCCUUGGAUUCAGGGGCAGCAAGGAACAUUCUUUUGUAGAAAGACAGCAAAGCAAUGCAGAAUUACAGACACAAAAAUACAUCAAACAGAUAAUUAAUGCCAUCAAAAUUCCCCAUUCAAACAGAACUAAAACAAAUGAUAUAUGGCCGUAGCAAAGUGGACCAAAUAUAACUCACAAAACUGGGAGAUUAAUCCAUGAGAGAUACUAAAGUGAAGGAGAAACAGGAAGAACAAAGCUAACCUGCUGCAUGCAUCUCAUGUACCUUCAAUUAGGACAUUCGGCUUCCUUUACAACCUGUCCUACUCAUCGAUCAAAAGCAAGGAACACUCUUUAAAAGCUUUACGCGAGGCAUAAAGCAUCUCCCGUCCUAUCAAAUACUUCUCUAGCAAGUUUAUUGCGAUAGUACUCAGAUUCUGAUAAUUAAACCCUCACAGUCCGUAAUCUGUGUAGAUGAUUGAAAAAAUUAAAGGGAAAAUUACAAAAAAAAAGAAGAUAGAAAAGAGAGAGAAAUGGGUUUAGACAUUUGAAAAGGACGUUUAGGGUUGGAAAGGGAAAGUUAGAGAGAGAAAAACAAAACGAGAGAUGAAAGAAAAUAACGUCUAUUAAACCUUGGGUUAUGCAAUUAAGUGCCAUUAAACAAGAACGUUUUCUUGGCCAAAGAAAAAACAACAAUGUUUUCUGGCCAAAAAAAGAAAAAGACAAUAACAUUUAAGAAAAUAUGAAAAACCAAAUUUAUUAUACCUUAAAUUUAUUCAACGAACAUUGUCUUAAUUACCCCAUAGGGAUUUUGUUUUUGCGUUACAUUCAUCCCACAUGAAAUGGCUAAUUUUUACUCAAAAAAAGAGCGAAAUACAACAAUACGUACUAAUACUAGGAGAAAAAUACCACUUUACCCCUUACCGUAUAGUACUUUGGUUUUAAGUACUUUUGUCUUCUUCACUUACAUUCGAGUUGUGCUUGGCCAGGUGCCACAUAAUCAUGUAGCAGCCUUCCAAUGUAAAAAACUGCCCCGCCAUGUAAAACCCAUUACCUCCAUAUUAUAAAAUAAAAACUACUACUUCCUCUUUUCAUGAAUCUCACCCAUUCUCUCUUUUAUGUUUUUCGGAUAAAAAAGGUGGUGGGUAGUUUUUUUUAUUUAUUUAUUUGGUAUUUGAGUACCUAUGAAAUACACAGCCAAUAAGCAACCCCAAUCACUGAAUGGUAUAAAACUACAGUAAGUAUCAAGUAAUCUUCACAAACUAAGGCUCCACAAUAAUCUUCCCAGUGGCAUGGCCAUCGAUGAUCUUAGCCCAAGCGUCUUCAGCCUUGCUUAGAGGAUGCUUUGAAUCAAUUACUGUCUUAAGCUUUCCUUCUUUCACCAACUUAACAAGAUACUCGAGUUUCUCUUUGUUAGGUAACAUAAUCAGUGGUACCAGCUGCUUCUUGGAGAAUGUAAGUUUUUGCAGAGCAAACGUCAUGAAAACAAUGGGACGAGGAGAAAUAUCUAUUACCUUCCCAUUUGCACUCAAAUUUGGCUCAAAGGUAGACCAGGGAAAGCCCGUCGCACAGUGGAUCACUGCAUCGUAUUUGCGACCGGAAGGGCUCUUCAGAGCCGCCCCAUCAGGACUUUUGUAGUCAAGAACCUCAUCGGCCCCCAGGCUCUUGACUAAAUGAAUAUUACGAGCCCCACAAGUGGCUGUCACAUGUGUGUUUCCAAGCUUUGCCAGUUGAACUGCAUAGUGGCCUACGCCACCUGAAGCAGCAGUAAUCAGGAGGUUUACUUGCUGGUCGCUUCCAUCAAGCUUGAGCCCAGCACCCCGGGUAAGUGCCUCAUAAGCUGCGAGGCCAGCAAUAGGCAAAGCUGCACCUUCAGCAGCUGAUACCUCUGGAGGCCUUCCUACUGUCGAACUCUCCUUAGCCACAGCAUAUUCAGCUAGUCCACCUCCACUCUGUCAUUACAAAAUAUAUUCAUAAUAGAAAAUGGCCUUAGCAAAUGACAUAAAUGAUCCUGAAUUGUGGAUAAAACAAGCAGAAGCUAGAAUCACUCCACAUUAAUAUUAUCCAGGUCUUCUGACAGCCAAAUGCUUCACAUAGUUAUAGUAAAAUCACUUCCUUAGAAAUGAUAGUCAUGUAGACAAGAUGAUUGCAUUGAAAACAUGAUACACUCAAUAUGAAAAGUAAGAAAGCGCAAAAAAUCUGGGGCCUGGGGAUGUUCCUACAGCUUGAACCAUCAAAAAGUCCGGUGGAAAAUACGUUUCCCUCAAGCAACACAACAAAUAUAAGCACAAAUGGAAAGCAGAAUGUUUUCAAAGAUAGGCUUACCAUUUAAAAGGUUAAUCUAGCUACAAGGAAAAGAAACCCAUAAUCAGCAAUAUAACAGCAUUCCGAUUUCUGAUGAUGACACAACACAAAGCUUUCCUUUACUUUAAUUCAUCCAAACAAGCAAGAAGGGCAAUGCCCACCAGAUGUCAUGACUAGAGUUAACUAAGGUCACUUAUUAAAAGACUGACAUGGUUCAUUUGCAGCAAAGAUGAUAGCACCGGUGCUAGAAAAUCCUUUAUAAGGGUAUAUGAUUUACUGGUGUUCCUCCAUUAUUGGAUUCUGAAGUGGAUCUUUUGGCUAUAAGGAAUUCCAUUUUUCAAGAAUUGUUGGGGUUGCACAAAUGAUUAAAGUCCCAACCCACUUCAGCACCCAAUUAAUUGUUUGAGCUAAUAUUUAAAAACACAACUGCAGUCAACUAUUAUUUUUCUAUUAUACUAGUGCUUCUUCCAUUCUUCCUAAAGAAAUCUCCUAUUCUGAUUAUUCUCAGAAUGAUUAGUGGCAUGCUACCCCAAAACUUCCAUCCAAAAAUAGGCAGUCAUUCUCAUUAAUAAGCUAUGACAGUUUCUGUUUUGUGGAGAGCCAGGUAGAUUUGAUUUCUAUGUGCUGAUUGAAAAUUUGAUCAAGGAAAAAAAAAAAAACCACAAGAAUAAGAAUGACAACUUACACCAAAUACAGCCACAACUUUAUCCCCUACUUUGAAGUUCUUGACUCCUUCUCCAACCUUUAUGACUUCUCCUGCUACAUCGGUAGCUGCUACAACAACAGUUUUUUAGCCAUUGAAAAGAGGCAAAAAAAUUUUAGCUGAAAGAAAACAGCAAUGCUUACUGAUGAUUUAAAGUUGGAUACUUUUAAUCUAGUUUGCAGAUGAUAUAUGAUGCCGAACCAAGUUCGCUUUACAUUUUGAAAACACUAAACUAUGAUAAUGGGACCCAUGAAUUGCUAUAAGAUUACCACAACUAGUUAAAUUAAGAGACCUAUCCACCGGUAAUUUUAUGUUUUUGGCUAACAAAUACAGGGAUAUUCCUUAACAAAUAGGCAAAUUUUGUCCAUUAACAAUAGCUUCAAUUAACAAAUAGACACAUUUUUUUCUAUUAACAAUAGCCACUAAAACACAAUACACAAAUGAGUUUACUGUGUUGAACCAUCCAGAGGAUAUUAAACAAGUCAUUAUUCAUAAUGCACAGCCUGGAAAAUUGACAUAGUAAGAAAAACCCAGAUUUGGAAGACAGAUGUAACUUAAGAGACUAACUGAUAAUGUCAAAUAAAUACAAAUACCACCAUGGAGUAAAAUAAAAGUCUCAAGAAAAUUACACGAUUGAAACAGUCGCAAGAGAAAAGUAAACGACCUGGAAUGUGGGGGAAUUUGCGAGGUAAAAAUGGCCGAAUCAACCCUUUCUGUAUUUUCAAGUCAAGUGGAUUUAGGCUAGUUGCCUCCAGUUUUAGCAAAACUUCAUCUUGUUUUGGAGUGGGAAUUGGAACUUCAACAUGCUGCAACAGCCAUAAAAUUCACGGCCGUUAUUAUAUCAAAUCACUGGAAAAUUUUUGAAGUUUAUCAAAGCAGGAAAAUGCUGGAAAUACAUAAGCAAAAAUAUGUUAUGACUUUGCCGUCAGCCUCUUAGUCUCAGACCCUUUUUGGAAUUUUGGUUCCUAAGAGCAAAACCCUAACUUGACAAUUAUUUUCUUUCCAUUUUAGAAAUUGCACUUUCCUAUGCUUAAAAAUAUGUAAAAGUUUUGAAAUCUGCUGGCUGAAAAGUUUGAAACAUGGUUACAUGAAGUUGGAACGCUUUGAAACUAAUUGUAACAAAUUCAAAGGGGAUUGGCCAAAAUCUUAGGCUCGAUGUGUUUUGUUAAAAUUCACUUUAGAAAAUAUUUUUCACAAAAUGUUUAUAUUAUUUUUUUGAAAAAACAGAUUUUUUAUUAUUUGAAUUAUUUAAUUGUUUUUUAAAAAUUAAAAAAUUAUUUUUUAAAAUAAUAUUAAUAUAAUUAUUAAAAUGUUAAAAAUUAUUUAUUAUUAAAGUGUUAAAAUUAUUUAUUAUUACAUUUAUUAAUAUUUAAGAAUAAUUAAAUUUUAAUAACAAUAUUAAAAUAUUAAAAUAUUAUAUUAAUAUAAAAUAAAAAAUAAAACUAUUUAUCAAUUUUAUGUUAAUAUUUUAAUAUAUUUAAAAAUAGUAUAUUAUUCUUAAAAUAUUAUUUUAUUAAAAUUAAAAUAGUAAUAUUUAUUAUUAAAAUAUUUAUACUAUUUAAAUAUUUAUAUUUUAUAUUGACAGUAUUUAUUAUUAAAUCAUAACAAAAAUCUUUUUAUUUAUUAUUUAUAUUUCUUAGUAAAAUAGUAAUAUAAAUAUCUUAAUAAAAAUAUAAAAUCAUAUGCUUUAAACAAAAAAUAAAAAGAAAUUAUUAUAAAUAUUCACAUUAAGAAAAUAAUAUUGUUUUAUUAUUUAACAUUAAUUUUUAAAUAAUAAAAAUAUUAUUAUAUAAAUUAUUAUUUAUUAUUAAAAUAAUAAUAUAAUAUUAUUUAUUAUUGAAAGACUAAAAAUAUUUAUGUUUAAUAAUAUACCAAAUUAAAAUAUCAAAACACUUUUAAUGCAUAUAUUUUAAUUUUUUAUUAAAAUUAAAUAAAAUAUUUUAUUAAUAUAAUAAUAUUUUAAGUCGAAUUAAAUUAAAUUUGAAUUUAAAAUCUUAUAUUCAAAAUCUUACUUAAAUAAAACUAUAAAAAUAUUUAAAAUUAAAAUAUUAAAAGAUUUGUAAUAUUAAUAUUUUGAUUUUUUAAAUAAAAUUAAAAAAAUAUUAUUUAUUAAUAUAAUAAUAAUUUGAGCAGGGUAAAAUUAAGUUUAAAUUUUAAAAAAUUAUGUCAAAAGUUCGAAAUGAAUAAAAUUAUACUUAAACACGCUUGAUAAAUAAUUUUACUCACAAAUAAUUUUUUUCAAAAAAUUUUCUUCUCUUUUUCAAAAUGUAAGAUAAGCUUCAAAAAAAUUAUCUUAUUUUUUUGUUGAUUAAUAAAGUAUUUUUCAUUGACUCAUUAAUUUUCUAUCAAGCAAACACUUAAAAGUAAGAAAAUUAUUUUCGAAAAAUCAUUUUCAACUAAACAAAUAAAUUCCUAAUUCUUUUCAUGGUUACUAAAAGCCAACUGGUAAAAAACCCACCAUUAUUAAUCCAGAUUACAUAUUCUAGAUUUUCAAUUUCACUAUCAUCUUUUUGGAUGACUCUUGCGGGUCCAUCCUUCGUGAAGGCGGUGAAGAUGUUGUGCACUGCGUAUGAGUGGAUACUGCGACUUCCACAAUAAAAAUUAGAAUUUGAGAGUUCGAUAGAAACUAAGCUUGCCAUACGAUGAAAGCUUCUUAUUGUUAGGGAAGAUCUAUCUUUUGUUAUGGGGAGAUGCAGAGAACUGUUCUGCUAUGAUACCAAGAUAAAGCACAUCAACAGAUGAAACACACCGAAUUUUUAAUGAAAAUCACCUAGUUUUACUCUUGCUAAUUAACUGUAAAAGUAGCAUUUCAUAUAGACAAAGGUUUACAUGUACAUGUUUUUCAAAUCAUUACAAAAGGGUUUGGCUACAUCUAUCAGACAGCCAUAUUCAUGUAUGUCAAGUGACAGAACUAAGCUUUUUACCAAUACCAUUUGAAUUUGUCACCAUUAGGUUCAAAACAGCCCAACUUCUUGGAACCAUGUUUCAAACUUUCCAGCUUUACUUUUCUCGUUUUCAAUAUCAUGAUGCUUUCAGUCAAAAUUUAUUAAUAAAUUAAUACUUAGAUGAUGUUUUAACUUUUGAACCAGGAAAAUUAUAAGACCAAAAAAAUUAGUAAUUAAAAAAAAAAGCAAGAAAAAUAACAUGGUAAGAGAAUGAAGUAGAUUACCUUCAAACCAGCAGCUCCUCCGCCAUAAGUACUGUACUGAAUGGCAUGCAUCAGAUUAUCACCCAUUCUUUUCUAAGAGGAGAUAAAACCGAAGCACUUUUUAAAUUUGUUGUAAGACAAGAAGCUUGAGAGAGUAUCUGAGAAAGAGAACGAAGGAAAGACCGGAUGGUGCUUUACAUGUUGCCGUUGGAUACUUGAAUUUAUAGUAGCCAGACUCCAGACAAGAACAUGUGGGGUCCACAUGGUUAAAUUAACGGAUAUACCCUUCAUCGAACAGAGUCGAAGCAAAUCCUCUCGACGCAACACGAGACAGUGAAAGAUUUUGAAUAAUUUUCGCCUGUCUAGGUGUGAAUAUUGUUAAGUUCUAUAUGUUGAACUUCUCUUGCCAAUGUUGAUUUGUCGAAGAGUUUGAAAUGUAGGCGAAUGUGUCUUUCUCACAUUGAUUAGUUUUUGUUUUAAGCGUUUUGAUUAUUCUACGCCUCUAUCAUUUAUGUUGACAAUGGUGAUUUUCCUUAGCCACAGAUUCUUCAUUUGAUAAACAUUAAUAAUUUGAAUUCUACCAAAUUUUGAUGAGUCUAGUUGGGCUAACUAUUUUUAUUUUGGUUUUGAUUUUUUUUUCCACGAAUUUCUCUUGAAUUAAGAUAUUGAUAUUACUCGCUUUGCAAUGCCAUCAAUUCUCUUUGACUUUAUUAUUGAAAUUUUGAAUUUCCAAUAUGCUGCUUAAUAAUAUAGAUUUAAUUUGCAUUAAAAUUUCCUUUUUACAACCUCCACCCACACUUUAUUCAUCUAUAAUCUAGAUAAUAAAAAUGAAUUUGAGAACAUCCAAAUUUAAAGGAUUUAUUCUCUUUCUCUCUUCUUUCCUUACUCUCAUGGUGCUCAAACAUCUGAUACAUCUAGUAUCCAAAAAUGGCAUCGUCAGGCUUAAUACGUAGCCUGAUCAUUGCUUGAACCAAACAUUCCAGUUACUGUUGCAAAACCCUGCUGCUGGUACAUCCAGAGUGUAAUCUUAAACAUACAUUUCAUAAACAUAUUAUUAUUUACAAAAACAAAAUUAACAAAUCCUAAUUAUCCAUGGUAUUAUGUGCAAUUUAUAACGAAAACAAUACAGUUUCAGCAACAUAACCUCCAAAUAUCAUUGUUUAAUUACCAGCAAAAGAUGACAUGCACUCAUUACCAUCAUUUGCAUUGUUCGAAAUACUAAGUACCCAUAAAUAUACACAUGACCCAUAAGCAAUCCCGAUCACUGAAUUGUAUGAAACUACAGUAAGUAUCAAGUAAUAUUCACAAACUAAGGCUCCACAACAAUCUUCCCAGUGGCAUGGCCAUCAAUGCUCUUAGCCCAACCGACUUCAGCCUUACUUAGGGGAUGCUUUGAAUCAAUUAUUGUCUUAAGCUUUCCCUCUUUCACCAACUUAACAAGAUAAUCGAGGUUCUCUUUCUUAGGUAUCAUAAGUAGUGGUACCAGCUGUUUCUUGGAGAAGGUAAGCUUUUUCAGAGCAAAAGUCAUCAAGGCACUAGGACCAGGAGUAAUAUCUAUUACCUUCCCAUUUGCACUCAAAUUAGGCUCAAAGGUAGACCAAGCAAUGCCCAUUGCACAGUGGAUCACUGCAUCGUAUUUGCGACCAGAAGGGCUCUUCAGAGCCGCACCAUCAGGAGUCUUGUAGUCAAGAACCUCGUCGGCCCCCAGGCUCUUGACAAAAUCCGUGUUACGAGCCCCACAAGUGGCUGUCACAUGUGUGUUUCCACGCUUUGCCAGUUGAACUGCAUAUUGACCUACACCGCCUGAUGCAGCAGUAAUCAGGAGGUUUACUUGCUGACCGCUUCCAUCAAGCUUGACCCCAGCAGACUGGGUGAGUGCCUGGAGAGCUGUGAGACCAGCAACAGGCAAACCUGCACCUUCAGCAG